CACCGAGCACUAACCAGUAUACCUCGAAAUGUGCGUGAGGAAAAUGAAAAUGGAAAUGUAAGUGAUCUGGAAGUUAAUACUAUCCAAACCGUUCAAUUGAUGAAUUUGGACGAAGGAGAAAAUUUGGAUCCAAUUGAAAAUGAAUUUCUGGCUGAUAUCAACACAGUUUUAGAAGCAGAAGCAGCGAUCAGUGAUAAUGUCCAUGAGCGAUGAAAACACAG